rnacentral:lncRNA from 10 species
CCGAAGGCACCAAAGCAGCUGGAGUGGGAUACCCCAUCCAGAGAUACCCGCCAUAGAGCACCCAUGGGCACAGAGGCCCCCGGCAGAGCCCACAUCCACCCUGGAGGCCGAGGCAGCUCCAGGCAUGACCAUGUAACAGUUUGGGCUGCUGAGCCAGAAGGGAAAGAGUACUACUGCUAGACUUCCAGGAAGGCUGCUCUAAGAAAGAUGACUCAGAGGUUGCACUUUUUUAGUUUUGGGGGUUUUUUUCCCUCUACUUCCUGCUUCUUGGAACUAGGACAUGAUGUCUGGAACUCUAGCAGCCAUUUUGGACCAUGAGGUGAUUGUGCGACUAGAAGACACAUCGUAGAAUGGAGCACCAAGACGAAAGCCCCCAAAGCUGCCCUAUAAGACCUGGACUUCAAACCAGCAAACUUCUUCCAUGUGAGAGAGAAAUAAGCUUAGGUUUUGUUUCUGCCAGUGUUAUCUUUGUUUUCGGUUAUGAGCCACUAAAUGUGAUCCCACUUGUUACCCCAGUCAUUCUCCCAACUUCCUAGACCCAUUAAUAGCAUUCUACACUCACAGUCCAUCAGUGGUGCAAGACUACAACACGAUUUUAAAUCCAAAAGUGAUAUAAAUGAUUUUGUGAUUCUGUGCUGCUGAGAUAUGUGCUUUUUUCAACUUGCAAAAUAUACUAUUGAAAUCUAUAGUUAAAAAAAAAAGA